UACGUAGGGUGCAAGCGUUACUCGGAAUUACUGGGCGUAAAGCGUGCGUAGACGGUUAUUUAAGUCGGGUGUGAAAGCCCCGGGCUCAACCUGGGAAUUGCAUUCGAGACUGAAUAGCUAGGGUACGGUAGAGGGAAGCGGAAUUUCCGGUGUAGCGGUGAAAUGCGUAGAUAUCGGAAGGAACAUCAGUGGCGAAAGCGGCUUCCUGGACCAGUACCGACGUUCAGGCACGAAAGCGUGGGGAGCAAACAGG
rnacentral:rRNA from 1 species